AGUGAAGCUGGCGGUAGGCCUAACACAUGCAAGUCGAACGGCAGCACAGUAAGAGCUUGCUCUUACGGGUGGCGAGUGGCGGACGGGUGAGGAAUACAUCGGAAUCUACUUUUUCGUGGGGGAUAACGUAGGGAAACUUACGCUAAUACCGCAUACGACCUACGGGUGAAAGCAGGGGAUCUUCGGACCUUGCGCGAUUGAAUGAGCCGAUGUCGGAUUAGCUAGUUGGCGGGGUAAAGGCCCACCAAGGCGACGAUCCGUAGCUGGUCUGAGAGGAUGAUCAGCCACACUGGAACUGAGACACGGUCCAGACUCCUACGGGAGGCAGCAGUGGGGAAUAUUGGACAAUGGGCGCAAGCCUGAUCCAGCCAUACCGCGUGGGUGAAGAAGGCCUUCGGGUUGUAAAGCCCUUUUGUUGGGAAAGAAAAGCAGCAGGUUAAUACCCCGCUGUUCUGACGGUACCCAAAGAAUAAGCACCGGCUAACUUCGUG
rnacentral:rRNA from 1 species